rnacentral:rRNA from 1 species
CCUACGGGAGGCAGCAGUGGGGAAUAUUGCACAAUGGGGGAAACCCUGAUGCAGCGACGCCGCGUGAGUGAAGAAGUAUUUCGGUACGUAAAGCUCUAUCAGCAGGGAAGAAAAUGACGGUACCUGACUAAGAAGCCCCGGCUAACUACGUGCCAGCAGCCGCGGUAAUACGUAGGGGGCAAGCGUUAUCCGGAUUUACUGGGUGUAAAGGGAGCGUCGACGGCAGCGCAAGUCUGGAGUGAAAUCCCAUGGCUUAACCAUGGAACUGCUUUGGAAACUGUGCAGCUAGAGUGCAGGAGAGGUAAGCGGAAUUCCUAGUGUAGCGGUGAAAUGCGUAGAUAUUAGGAGGAACACCAGUUGCGAAGGCAGCUUACUGGACUGUAACUGACGUUGAGGCUCGAAAGCGUGGGGAGCAAACAGGAUUAGAUACCCCUGUAGUC